rnacentral:rRNA from 1 species
CCUACGGGGGCAGCAGUGAGGAAUAUUUGUCCAUGGGCGCGAGCCUGAACCAGCCAAGUAGCGUGAAGGAUGACUGCCCUACGGGUUGUAAACUUCUUUUUUAAAGGAAUAAAGUGAGGCACGUGUGCCCUUUUGUAUGUACUUUAUGAAUAAGGAUCGGCUAACUCCGUGCCAGCAGCCGCGGUAAUACGGGGGAUCCGAGGGUUAUCCGGUUUUAUUGGGUUUAAAGGGAGCGUAGAUGGGUUGUUAAGUUAGUUGUUAAAGUUUCCGGGUAAACCCCGGCGAGCCGGUGAAACUGGCGGGCUGGAGUGGGGGAGAGGUACGCGGAAUGCGCGGUGUAGCGGUGAAAUGCUUAGAUAUCGCGCAGAACCCCGAUUGCGAAGGCAGCGUACCGGCGCCACACUGACGCUGAGGCACGAAAGCGUGGGUAUCGAACAGGAUUAGAUACCCGUGUAGUC